ensembl:lncRNA
CAGCACAGAGCAUUCUCUGGGGUAAGAAUAACACAGAAUAGCCAAAAGAGGACAGAGCAGCCUUCACCCCAGUGCUACACAGCUGGGGCUCCUUGCCUGCUGCAACCCACUGGGCUGCAGCUCCUGUGAAAGACAGCUGCCUUCAUCCCCUCCUGCUGUUCUGCCACAUGUACUGCACAGAAUUCCUCCUGAGAGUCUUGCGUGCAAUGGGAUUCUAGUGCUCCGAAGUUACUGCCUGACCAGAGAGCAACAGAAAUGUGUAUGAGGGACUGAGAAUCCCAGUUUCAGUGGUGACUUCAGGAGGUGUUUGGAGGAAGUGAGACCCCUACCAGGUCUUCAGCGUCUCUUAUCAGGAAAUGUGUAAUGGUUCAAACCCGGGAGAAGCUGAUCCAGGGCAAACUCUCCUGACCUCAUGAAAAACACAUCCAUCUGAACCUCACAGUGAAAUGCAAACAUACAGGCUAACCACAGAAGUUAAGAAAUAUCCUUGCCUGCAUUGUAUUGCUUUAAUGUGGAAAAUUUUAACAUGAGUAGCAGAGCAACAAGUAACACUGCCUGCAAGCUGAUGCCACCAUGAGACUGUCCUCGUGGUGAUGGUAGUGCUUUUCUCAGAAGCAAUAUCCUACUCUAAGUUGCUUUCAUUUUGCAGGUAAAGUUAUACUACUAGAUACUAUUAGUAAACACAGAGAGUAAGAAAAAUGUAAGUGCAAAGGAGAGUGGGGGGAAUGGAGAGAGAGAGAUGAUGAUGAAAGCUAACCUGAGCAGAUCCUUGGUUAUAAGUGAGUAAAUAUUUUAUCCAGAACAGACACCUUUGUCCAGAAGAUGUCAUAUCUGGAAAAUGUCAGAUCUCCUCUGAAGGCAAUCUGUGUAAACUCGCAUGUGUCAGAAUGAGUAUCAGGCAUUCUUAAAGACAAGAAAGACUUCAAACUUAUCCUGCGCAGGUAUAACAGUAGAGUCCAAAUGAUGGUCCUAGUGGUAUCUGAGGUCACAUGCUUUAUGAUAAAAGGCCCAACUUGUAUUUCUCAUUAUAUUAAAAUUAAAGGUGGAUUAUACCACUUGAAACUUGGACAGCUAUAUUCUAUUUUUCACAUAACUUACCUGUUACAAUUAUUUCUUCUGAAAAGAUGGGGAAAUACGUUCAGAGUGAGAAACCACUUAAACUCUGGGAGUCCAUAAACUACAAAGCCUACUGUGCAGAGAUGUGCUAAAUACUGUCAGACCAGUACUAAUCUCUGUUUAAAGUUCUGGUUGUUGCAGUAGUGUGCGUUUUCACCUACUGAUAAAAACAAUAUUACUUUAGGAGCCUUUCCGAUAAAUACAAUGCUGAAGUUAUUCGGUGCAACAUAAACAUUUAGCUCUGCAGUUUAGUCUGUAAACGUUUAAAAGGUUGGAAUGUUUAUCCAAAAUGGCCAGACUUCCAAAAGUGCAAAACUGUUUGCAGUGCUAACAAGGAGUAGAAAAUGAUGAGGGUUACACAUUUGAAAGAGAAGAAGACAAAAUCUGUUUUCCAUAAACUGUUAUCUUCAGGUUUUAUUUCACUUCUGAGCUUCCUUGGAAAUGGUUUGCCUGCUUUGAGUUGAUUUCAGAAAGAAUUGGUGGGGAUUAGGAUUGCUCCUGGAAUCUUAAUGUAAACCCAGGUCCCAGUGAGAGGAGGGAAAGGGACUGAUUCAGUAAAUAAUGCUUUUUCUGUAAU